rnacentral:rRNA from 1 species
CCUACGGGUGGCAGCAGUGGGGAAUAUUGCGCAAUGGGCGAAAGCCUGACGCAGCGACGCCGCGUGAGGGAUGACGGUCUUCGGAUCGUAAACCUCUGUCAGCAGGGAAGAACGGUCACUGUGCUAAUCAGCAGUGAAUUGACGGUACCUGCAAAGGAAGCACCGGCUAACUCCGUGCCAGCAGCCGCGGUAAUACGGAGGGUGCGAGCGUUAAUCGGAAUUACUGGGCGUAAAGCGCUCGUAGGCGGUAUGUCAAGUCAAGGGUGAAAUCCCCGCGCUCAACGUGGGAACUGCCUUUGAAACUGGCAAACUGGAGUGUGUGAGAGGAUAGUGGAAUUCCAGGUGUAGGGGUGAAAUGCGUAGAUAUCAGGAGGAACAUCAGUGGCGAAGGCGACUAUCUGGCACAUAACUGACGCUGAGGAGCGAAAGCGUGGGUAGCAAACAGGAUUAGAUACCCCUGUAGUC